GUUUAAUCAAAAUAAUAAAAUCAGUCAAUAGGCCACUAGCUGGGCUUUAAACACUAUUUUAGCAGAGUAAAGAAAGCGCAUAAUCAUCUCUGUUUUUGAUAGUGUUCCCAAACGACAAAAGAAACUCAAAGCUUUGGUUCCUUUGCUAUUUGAAACAUGACUGUUUAAAGAUCAUGCCUGAGCUGCUGAGCCAUAGAAGAAGUGUGACGGAAAGCAAUGAUGGACUCUACAAAACCCGCAGAAGAGAUCCGUGGUGCGCAGGCAUCAGAGGUAUAGAUGUGAGGAAAACCAGACUUCUGAACAUAAUAUUUGAGGAUUCAUAUCACUUCCAUUCCUGUGCUCUGAGACCAUCCAACAGAGUCACUGAAGUUACAGAGAACGUGUCCUCUCAUGCCUGGAUGAAGGAUAAAGGAUCUGAAUAAUGAUACCAGUGCCACCUAAUUGCUCUUUGGAAUUUUGAAGGACCUACUUGUUUUCUGUAAGAAUGGUGAACGUAGCUCUGGAACAGAAGCAGUGGGGCCUGGCAUCCUUCUCGUGAUACCUGGAGAUACAAGAACACGUGUGAUAUAAGUAAGGACACCAACCACUAUCAGUAACUGUCCCUCUAUCCUUCUCUCACUUACCCCUUAAGGACGUUGUGCGGGACG
rnacentral:lncRNA from 1 species